rnacentral:rRNA from 1 species
AUUAAACGCUGGCGGCAGGCCUAACACAUGCAAGUCGAACGAGUGGCGGACGGGUGAGUAAUGUCUUGGAAACUGCCUGAUGGAGGGGGAUAACUACUGGAAACGGUAGCUAAUACCGCAUACCAUCAUAUGUGCCCCGAUGGGAUUAGCUUGUUGGUGGGGUAACGGCUCACCAGGCCGACGAUCCCUAGCUGGUCUGAGAGGAUGACCAGCCACACUGGAACUUAGACACGGUCCAGACUCCUACGGGAGGCAGCAGUGGGGAAUAUUGGGCAAUGGGCGAAAGUCUGACCGAGCAAUGCCGCGUGAGUGAAGAAGGUUGUCGGAUCGUAAAGCUCUGUUGUUAGGGAAGCGGUAUCUACACAGAAAGCCACGGCUAACUUCGUGCCAGCCGCCGCGGUAAUUC